AUGAGAAGGUAAUAGUUCUUCAAUGCUCCGUGUUUCUUCAUAUUGUAAAUAUUCUUCCUAAACGUCCUAGAUACUUUAAAAGUUAACCCAAUAAUGUUGUGUGUACAAGUGAUGUGUUUAAAGUAAUUUUUAUGCACAAUUUCGUUUAUUUAGAAGUAGAGCGUCGACUGUGUGAAUUGUUUGGUAGUAUUUACACGUGGUAUUUACCUCACACAGGAGCAGAUUUCACUCCGCCCGAAAGUUGUGACCUGUGUGUGUGUGUGUUUCGUGUUUCCAACGCAGGUAUGUGGAGUUGUGCAUUAUUAUUAUUUUGUGAUAAAACGUUUUUGUUAAUGUAAUUUAAUUUAUUAUUAUUUUCAUAUGAAUGAAUGUUUGUUACUUCCUCUUCCUUCGGACGUUUGAAUGAGAAGGAGCAGAUAUCACUCCGCCCGAAAGUUGUGACCUGUGUGUGUGUGUGUUUCGUGUUUCCAACGCAGACCCAUGUCAUGUGACUUCAAACUUGACACCUCAUUGGCUGGUUCUGAGACAGCAUCGAUUGCUUCAGUCUUAACUUGAUGGAAGUGAUCAGACAAACACUCUCAGCUGGGUCAUCUACGCACCUGUCGCUGAUCUCGAAGCCGGUCCUGGCACACUCCGCUUCGCUGCAGGUCACUUGCCCUUCCUUUUGUGUCAUCAGUCUGACGUCAACCCGGAUCCCUGAUUGUUUCCACCUGUUACCCAUUAC